UCCCUGGUAGUCCAGUGGUUAGGACUCCACAGCUCUUAAUGCUGAGGGCCUGGGUUCAAUCCCUGGUAGGGGAG
rnacentral:tRNA from 1 species